AAUUCGAUUAGAGUUUGAUCAUGGCUCAGAUUGAACGCUGGCGGAAUGCUUUACACAUGCAAGUCGAGCGGCAGCGCGGGGGCAACCCGGCGGCGAGCGGCGAACGGGUGAGUAAUACAUCGGAACAUGUCCAGUUGUGGGGGAUAGCCCGGCGAAAGCCGGAUUAAUACCGCAUGAGCUCGAGAGAGGAAAGUGGGGGACCGUAAGGCCUCGCGCGAUUGGGUUGGCCGAUGUCCGAUUAGCUAGUUGGCGGGGUAAGAGCCCACCAAGGCGAUGAUCGGUAGCUGGUCUGAGAGGAUGAUCAGCCACACUGGGACUGAGACACGGCCCAGACUCCUACGGGAGGCAGCAGUGGGGAAUUUUGGACAAUGGGGGCAACCCUGAUCCAGCCAUUCCGCGUGAGUGAAGAAGGCCUUCGGGUUGUAAAGCUCUUUUGUCCGGAACGAAACGGUUAGCGUGAAUAUCGCUGACUACUGACGGUACCGGAAGAAUAGCACCGCUAACUACGUGCCAGCAGCCGCGGUAUACGAAUCACUAGUGAAUUCGCGCCGCCUGCAG
rnacentral:rRNA from 1 species